CAGCCGCCACGGUAAUACGUAGGUGGCAAGCGUUGUCCGGAAUUAUUGGGCGUAAAGGGCUCGCAGGCGGUUUCUUAAGUCUGAUGUGAAAGCCCCCGGCUCAACCGGGGAGGGUCAUUGGAAACUGGGAAACUUGAGUGCAGAAGAGGAGAGUGGAAUUCCACGUGCAGCGGUGAAAUGCGUAGAGAUGUGGAGGAACACCAGUGGCGAAGGCGACUCUCUGGUCUGUAGCUGACGCUGAGGAGCGAAAGCGUGGGGAGCGAACAGGAUUAGAUACCCCUGUAGUCCCUGUCUCUUAUAC
rnacentral:rRNA from 1 species